UGCGUAGACGGGUUUUUAAGUCAGGGGUGAAAUCCUGGAGCUCAACUCCAGAACUGCCUUUGAUACUGAAGAUCUUGAGUCCGGGAGAGGUGAGUGGAACUGCGAGUGUAGAGGUGAAAUUCGUAGAUAUUCGCAAGAACACCAGUGGCGAAGGCGGCUCACUGGCCCGGUACUGACGCUGAGGCACGAAAGCGUGGGAGCAAACA
rnacentral:rRNA from 1 species